UACAGAGGGUGCAAGCGUUAAUCGGAAUUACUGGGCGUAAAGCGUGCGUAGACGGUUGCGUAAGUCAGAUGUGAAAGCCCCGGGCUCAACCUGGGAAUUGCAUUUGAGACUGCGUAGCUAGGGUGCGGAAGAGGGAAGCGGAAUUUCCGGUGUAGCGGUGAAAUGCGUAGAUAUCGGGAAGAACACCCGUGGCGAAGGCGGUUCUCUGGGCAUGUCCUGACGCUGAGGAGCGAAAGUGUGGGGAGCGAACAGG
rnacentral:rRNA from 1 species